UCUCCGUUGGUGAACCAGCGGAGGGAUCAUUACAGAGUUUUCACCACUCCCAACCCUUGCGAACCGUACCCAUUCUGUUCUCGUUGCUUCCGGCGGGGGGGACGGGGGGGCCCGAAACGGCCUCCCCGCCCCGCCCGCCGGGGGCGGCGGGCCCUACGAACCUUUAUAUCUCAACCACCAGGAACCUUCUGAGAAAACAAACAAAAUAAUCAAAACUUUCAACAACGGAUCUCUUGGCUCUG
rnacentral:misc_RNA from 1 species